rnacentral:lncRNA from 1 species
GCCGCUGUGUAGCAUGUGACUUCGCUGUUCUUUGGCCUUCCACCAUGAUUGUGAGACCUCCUCAGCCAUGUGGAACUCCCAACAGGAUAACUAAAACGCCAGCAUUAAAACUCAGUCCCUGGCAAGAUGUUGUCUGUGAUCUCCUUCAUCUUCACGACAAGAUCAUCUAGGGUUGUAUGCUGAGGUUAGCAGCAGAGUCUCAGUGGAGUCGACCCUGCAGGUGGGAAGCCACACUUGGAAUUCCUCCAUCGUGCUUAGUUCACCUUGAGGACUAGGUAGCUAUCUAAUGGCAGAAUGGUUUCAAAACCCAAGUAUCUGUGAAGAGCUUUCUCUUUUGUGAAUUCUUCGGUCCAGCUCAGUGACUUCCAACUGUUCGAGGGGCAUAGUUAUGACUUAAAAUGAUUACAUACACAAGUACAUGCGCACUCUAUAAAUUAUGGUUGAUUUAAAGGAAUCUCAGGAGUAAUUUUGACCACAAAUAAUUUUUCCUCUUCUGUACUAACUAUGGAAAUGAAAUGUUUGUGUAAUAUAUGAUUUCAUUUUGCCAGAAUAUAUGAAUACUUCUGUGAAAGUGUCCUGAAAUAAAUGAAAUGCUGUCUCUGCAAAAAAAAAAAACCUAAAAAACAAAAACAGUUCUUUGGCUGUGACAUGGACAUGAAUAAAAAGGUUAUAACUAGCAUCAAAUUCAAGCAUUUGGUUUUAUUGCUUAUGUGAACACAGCAUGGAACAUCUUUUGAUUCACGUUUUCCCCAUUCUUAGUCGUGUUAUCUGUUCGUGACUAUGCAAGUGGUUUUGUCUCUCAGGGACAUUUGGUCAUGUCUGGAGACAUUUUCAGUUGUCACAACUGGGGAUGAGGAAAUGGUGCUACUGGCAUCUGGUGCGUAGACUUCAGGGAUGCCAGUAAACAUCCUGCAGUGGGCGGAAUAGCCCUGCACGGUAGAGAAUGAUCCACUCUAGAUGGUGUCAGUGCCCUCUAAACAUUACGUCCUGGGCUGUACCCACUCUUUGGAUGUGAAAAUGGAGGCCUAGGGAGGCUAAGCACUUAUUUAUUAUUUCUUUGUAGUUAAAAAAAAGUCCAUCUUGUUCCAGGAAGGAACAAUUUACUUUCUAAACAUGAGGCAUAAAACAGAAAUAACUAGGAAAUCGGUGGAAAUGUGUUUUCAUGGGGACCGUGUAGACUGAGGACAAAUUUUCAGGCUUCUAUUUGUCCGGUGAGGUUAGUGCUUGUGCGCUGGGCCAAGUCAACAUCCUCUUAGCGGUGUCUUGUCUCCUUCCUGAUUUAGAAAAGGCAAACCCACCUGCUGUCAUGAAAAAUACCUUCUAGAAGCUACCGGGUAAUUGGGUGAUAUUUCUGGAUUUGUCUCCCUGUCUAAUGUACAUCAGUUAAACUUUUGACUCUUCAGUGCCUUCUGGAGAAAGUAAUAAUCGGAAACUAAAUCGACUUGGUUUUUUCUCUCCCCCUUUGCCCCGUAUUUGUAAAGAUUAAUCUUCAGUAUCUAUGAGUGCUGGGUGAUUUGCGGAAACUGCAGCUGCUUUGUCAAUAUCAGCUUGGCCUCCAUUGAUCAAACCCUCAUUUAGGCGUUCACUGCCGUCUGCUGGAAACAGCCCAGGGAUGAGGAGGGAAGGGAAAAGGCCACUUCGGGAGGCCACCUUGCCUUGGAGUUUCCGUCGUUUUCCGAGGUGAGCUUGGAUGUCACUGCUCAGCACAGUUGAUUAAAGAGGUUGGUGCUGUGAGUGAGUCACUGUGUGGGAAUCAAUCCCGAUGGUGGCAGAUAUGAAUAAAGCGUCGGUGUAACUGUCCUGGCUGGAUUGUUUUUCUCCGUCUCACCAUACUGUUUUCCCUCUGCACGUGUCUGUGACCUCCGGCGGGCUUGCAGAUAAAAGUGAUGCAUCUUCAUUUUGUCGGAGGAGUUAAUUUUGUGUGUAUUCCAAGGUAAGAUGAUACUCACGGUGCUUAUAUCUUGGGCACCCACUGUGCAUUGGACACUUUCCAUAAAUUAACUCAAAUUUUUCUUAGCAGCUUGCUAUGGCUCUUCACUGUUUCUCCAAUUCGAUUUACAAAACCUUGAUUUCAGUGGGAUCCCUGUUUGCUCUUGCAAACUCUUCACUCACCACCUGCUUUUUGCCCACUCCACUUCAGCUGCCCUGAACUUUGUGUUGC